rnacentral:rRNA from 1 species
AGCGAACGCUGGCGGCAGGCUUAACACAUGCCAGUCGAGCGCCCCGCCAGGGGAGCGGCCGACGGGAGAGUAACACGUGGGAACAUACCUUUUGGUUCGGAACAACUGAGGGAAACUUCAGCUAAUACCGGAUAAGCCCUUACGGGGAAAGAUUUAUCGCCGAAAGAUUGGCCCGCGUCUGAUUAGCUAGUUGGUGAGGUAACGGCUCACCAAGGCGACGAUCAGUAGCUGGUCUGAGAGGAUGAUCAGCCUCACUGGGACUGAGACACGGCCCAGACUCCUACGGGAGGCAGCAGUGGGGAAUAUUGGACAAUGGGGGCAACCCUGAUCCAGCCAUGCCGCGUGAGUGAUGAAGGCCUUAGGGUUGUAAAGCUCUUUUGCCCGGGAAGAUAAUGACGGUACCGGGAGAAUAAGCCCCGGCUAACUUCGUG